GGUGAGGAAGUUGAAGCUCAGAGAAGUUGAAUAACUUGCCCAAGAUCACAUAGCAAAAAGAUAACCUCAACACAUGCCCUGGAUCAAACUAGGAACAUGACUGAAGAAUAAAAUUGCUCCUCCUGCAAAGAUGGAAGAAUGUUGAGCUCUGUGAGAGCUCCCCACAGCAUGAGGAAAUAAAGGGGUUGAAACCAGAGAGAAGCUGAGUGGAGACCAAGCAAGAAGGCAGGAAAGUAGGAGCCAGGAAGAGACAGUGAGUAGCAAGGUACAGGUGGGAAGAUUGGUGGAGGAACUUCUGAAAACAGGGAUCCCUGAUAUCUGAUAUUAACUGACCUGCUGUGUUUACCCACGGGGCCUCCCAACCCCAGAACUAUGAUUGCCCCCACAGACCCAGUAGCAAAGGCUCCACAGGAGUGUGAGGUAUAUUUGGAGAAGGCAAGGAAAGAAAGUUGGAUCCAAUGUUUGGGUGGAUGCAAGGCAGAAAGAAGGAGGUGGCUGCAAGGGACAGCAAUCAACAGAAGCAGGAAGUCAGAGCAAGCAAUAACUACAAAAAACAUGUGCCUUCAAGAAUCCCCCCAAAUAUUGGGGGGGCCAGGAUUCUGGAGGACUUGAGACAGUCCAGUGGUGCUAGGUCGGACAGAUUAAAAGCCAGCUGGGUGGCUUCCGCUUGGUGUCGACUGCACCUGUACUGGCAGAUUCAGGGCCUUGGAUGUUCCCACCAAGCCCUUUAAAGGAUACUACUGGGGGCAGGGGGAGAGAGAGAUGCUGUCCCACCCCGGGUUACCUAGAAGCAUGUAGGGGACAGGGAGGAGGGUUUUCUAAGACUGGGGCUGGCACUUCCUUGGUCUCCCCUUAGGCUCCAGCUCUCACAGUUCUCCAGUGCCUUUGAGAUCCUGAAGAAGGGAGAACCUCAGAAAGGGUUGCUGAGGGCUGCAGGGAGUCAUGCACAUGAAUGGGUCCUGCAAAGACCUAACAUUUUCUCUCCUCUAACCACAGUAAAAAUAAAUGCCUCUAAUAUCAAUACUUAUAAGGUUAAGUUCUGCAAGUUAAUGGAAAUCACUGAAGAGAAGCCACCUGGAGGGAGAAAAACAAGGGGGACAUUAACAGCUAUCAACUAGUGAGACCCAAGUAAAUUAGACUCAUAAGAUAUUGGCUCCCUAUAAAAGCAAAAGAUGACAUCUUGACAUAUGUUCUUAUUUUUUCCCCCAACAAAUGGAAAAUGUUGACCACCAUCAAGUAGACCUCAGUUAAGAAGGAAUUGAGAACUACAUUCUGACCAUUGUUCUUUGUUCUAAAUUUCUUCCUGAGGGUCCUGGAAAAGGUCAUGCCCACAGACCACACCUUAACAUUUCUUUCUGCUGACCCCAAGUUUUUAGCAAAAGCCUUGCUUCCUUGACCAAUUGCAAAAUCAAAGAAUCUCUGAAUUCACCUAUGACUUGUAAGCUCCCACUUCAAGAUAUCCUACCUUUUUGGGCCAAACCAAUAUAUAACUUCCAUGUAUUCACCUAUGAUUUUACUUGUAACUUCUGCUUUCUUAAAAUAUACCCCUGCCUUUCAAAACUCUUGCUUGUAAGCCAUCAGAGAGUUCAGGUCUUAAGCAUUAGCUGCCUGAUUCUCCUUGCUUGGCACCCUACAAUAAAUGCAAUAAUUUCUCUUGCUGCAGAUCU